rnacentral:rRNA from 1 species
AAUGAACGUUGGCGGCGUGGAUUAGGCAUGCAAGUCGAGCGAGAACCCCGCAAGGGGGACGAGCGGCAAACGGGUAAGUAAUGUGUCGGAACGUGCCCAGAGGACGGGGAGUAGCGGCGGGAAACGUAGCCGGUAAUACCCGAUGAUCUCGGCCUCCGCGAGGAGACCGAGCAAAGGUGUGAUUCCGCCUUUGGAGCGGCCGACAUGGUAUUAGCUAGUUGGCGGGGUAACGGCCCACCAAGGCNGUGAUGCCUAGGGGAUGUGAGAGCAUGACUCCCCACCAUUGGGACUGAGACACUGCCCAGACACCGUACGGGUGGCUGCAGUCGAGAAUCUUCGUCAAU